AGAGUUUGAUCAUGGCUCAGGAUGAACGCUGGCGGCGUGCUUAACACAUGCAAGUCGAACGGAGUUUUUAACGGAAGUUUCGGAUGGAAGUUUAAGAACUUAGUGGCGGACGGGUGAGUAACGCGUGGGUAACCUGCCUCAUACAGGGGGAUAACAGUUAGAAAUGACUGCUAACACCGCAUAAUAUAGUGAAACCGCAUGAUUUUUGCUAUCAAAUAUUUAUAGGUAUGAGAUGGGCCCGCGUCUGAUUAGCUAGUUGGUGGGGUAAAAGCCUACCAAGGCGACGAUCAGUAGCCGGCUUGAGAGAGUGACCGGCCACAUUGGGACUGAGACACGGCCCAAACUCCUACGGGAGGCAGCAGUGGGGAAUAUUGGACAAUGGGGGAAACCCUGAUCCAGCGAACCGCCGCGUGAGUGAAGAAGUAUUUCGGUAUGUAAAGCUCUAUCAGCAGGGAAGAUAAUGACAGUACCUGACUAAGAAGCCCCGGCUAACUACGUGCCAGCCGCAGC
rnacentral:rRNA from 1 species